UGAUGCCUCUGAUUCUCCCAUUCCUCUCUCUCCUCCCUCUUCUCCCUCAUCUGUGCAGCUGCCUUUUCCUACUCCUUUGAGUCCUGCUGGGCCAUCUACUGUUUUAGCUCCUUCUCCCUCUAUUCCUGCUCCCAGAAAAUCUCAAAGACAACAUAAUCCUUCUUCCUAUCUUAAGGAUUAUGUCUGUCAACUCCCUGCCUUUUCUGGCUCAUCUUCCUCCUCUUUGGAAUCUGAGCCUCUAUACUAUUCUCAGGCUGCAUCUGUUCCAGCAUGGCAAGUUG
rnacentral:lncRNA from 1 species